rnacentral:tRNA from 5 species
AAAUAUGAGUUUAACCUUAUUACUUUUUUUAAUAGGAAUCUUAGGAUUCGUAUUUA